AGGACGAACGCUGGCGGCGUGCUUAACACAUGCAAGUCGAGCGGAAAGGCCCUUUCGGGGGUACUCGAGCGGCGAACGGGUGAGUAACACGUGAGUAACCUGCCCUUGGCUUUGGGAUAACCCUCGGAAACGGGGGCUAAUACCGAAUAUUCACUGCUCCUCGCAGUGGGGGGUGGUGGAAAGUAUUUUUUGGCUGGGGAUGGGCUCGCGGCCUAUCAGCUUGUUGGUGGGGUGAUGGCCUACCAAGGCGACGACGGGUA
rnacentral:rRNA from 1 species